CCUACGGGUGGCAGCAGUGAGGAAUAUUGGUCAAUGGACGAGAGUCUGAACCAGCCAAGUAGCGUGAAGGAUGACUGUUUUAUGGUUUUUAAACUUCUUUUAUAUGGGAAUAAAAUGUUCCACGUGUGGGAUUUUGUCUGUACCAUAUGAAAAAAGAACGGCUAAUUCCGUGCCAGCAGCCGCGGUAAUACGGAGGAUCCGAGCGUUAUUCGGAUUUAUUGGGUUUAAAGGGCGCGUAGGUGGAUUGUUAAGUCAGUUGUGAAAGUUUGCGGCUCAACCGUAAAAUUGCAGUUGAAAAUGGCAGUCUUGAGUACAGUAGAGGUAGGCGGAAUUCGUGGUGUAGCGGUGAAAUGCGUAGAUAUCACGAAGAACUCCGAUUGCGAAGGCAGCUCACUGGACUGCAACUGACACUGAGGCUCGAAAGUGUGGGUAUCAAACAGGAUUAGAUACCCCAGUAGUC
rnacentral:rRNA from 1 species